AAUAGGCAGAUUCCAGGAGUGGGGCAGGGCAAAUACAAUAUGAGUCUUAAAUAUCUUGUGGUGCCAGAAAAGACUAGCUGUUAAACAGGGCUUUUUCCCUAGAAAGGUGUCAUAAUUUUGACUCCAUCAAAUUCUUCUAACAGCAAGUACUCAUUUGGGCCCAUUUUACAGAAGAAGGAAAACUCUUGAGUGGCUCAAUCUUGGCUCUCCACAACCUCUGCCUCCUGGAUUCAAGCGAUUCUAUUCCCCAGCAUACCAAGAAGCUGGGAUUACAGUUUUGAAGAUGAAGAAAAACCGAAGCUAUAAGGACUGAGAUAAAAUGCCAAGGACAUAUAGCUUGAAAAAGGCAUGGCUAGAAUGUGCACUCAGUAUGACCUCAGCACCCAAGCUCUUUACCAAUAUAUGCUGCAAUCUUAGGCUCAUCAACUGCACACAGUGAAUUGUGGUGCUACUUCGUCUAAGCCUGCAUUCUCCUUCAGAGCCUACACCUCCCUUUCAGCUGUUUUCACCUUCACUGUUCCAAAAAAAGCAGACUUUGAAAACUUAAGAAAUGACAUUAAAAAAAAUCAAAAUCG
rnacentral:lncRNA from 10 species